UCUUGACUAGUAUAUCGGUUAGUACACGCGCUUGUCAUACAUUUGAAUGAGUGUUGCGCGCGAAAGCUGGGUUCGACUCCCAGGUCGAGAG